rnacentral:lncRNA from 10 species
CAAAUACCGAAACAAUAGUUAUUGACCACAGUAUACCAAAUGGAAGAGACCAGCAGCUGGGCGUGGACCCAACAGAGCAUUUAUUUGAGAAUGGCAGUGAGUUUCCCUCAGAGCUGGAGGACGGGGACGACCCAGCAGCCUACGUCACCAACCUGUCAUAUUACCACCUGGUCCCCUUCGAGACAGACAUUUGGGACUGAACCUCUCUAUCAGGCCUCCCCCGCCUCAGCUGUUCACUGCCAGCUCUGAUGCUGUCCACUGUGCUGGCCCCCAUGGUCACAGCUGCUGCCCCAGCUCUGGAACUCCCAGACGUCCCAGGCCCCACUGACGCCAGGAGGCCUGGGUGUCCUGCAAGUGGAGCAGCAGGGGCUCCUAGUGGGCCAGGCUGACCGCAGAGUCUCCAGCAAGCUGAGGUCACAGCCGGAGGCCACAGGGCCUGUGUUCUGAGGGUCUUCACUCCCUGCUUGGUGCCCACAGGGCUGCGCACUGCCAGGGCAGGGACAGUUCCUGUGGGGCUCGCUCUCACUGCUACUGCUUCCUGGGAGGUGCAUCCCUCUUGGUGAAGUGGCCUAGUGCCCCCCAGCCACCCUGACUCCCCACCAUUCCCUCCCACGGCAAACGCACAAAACGUCUUGAGGGAGAUUUUGACAAGUCACCCAUUCCAGGUGCCACAGGCAGGGGAUGUUUAGUAAUCCAGGAUUUCUCUGAGAACUGGGAUAUGUGGCCUUUUUUUUUUUCUUUUUAUCUUUUAUCUGGAAACUGGGUUUGGGUCAACCCCAGGAGUAUUUGCAGAAGGCCCAGCACAGUGGGGGGUAUUGGCUGCAGGGCAGGGAAGGCAUUGCCGACUAGAUAACCGUGUGAGCUUGGACUGAGCGUUGGUGGUUCUUCCCAAAGGAAAGGAAUUUCUUCCCGGCCUGCCAGGUCUCUGGGCCUUCAGCGCGGGUCCUGGUGCUGCGGCCACACCACCCUGGGGUGCUCAUUGACAGAGCUGCCAUAAUGAACUUGAAAGGACGGGAAUCACGAGGGAAGCUGGGGCUCCCCUGCCCACAGGAGAGGAUCCCCGUUCUUCAAGCUUCUCUGCUCAGUGUCUACUAACGACCGACAUUUGCUAAUGUAAAUAAUAGUAAAUUAUUGAGAAUUCUAA